rnacentral:rRNA from 1 species
AUGAACGCUAGCUACAGGCUUAACACAUGCAAGUCGAGGGGCAUCAGGAAGAAAGCUUGCUUUCUUUGCUGGCGACCGGCGCACGGGUGAGUAACACGUAUCCAACCUGCCCUUUACUCGGGGAUAGCCUUUCGAAAGAAAGAUUAAUACCCGAUAGCAUAAUGAUUCCGCAUGGUUUCAUUAUUAAAGGAUUCCGGUAAAGGAUGGGGAUGCGUUCCAUUAGGUUGUUGGUGAGGUAACGGCCCACCAAGCCUUCGAUGGAUAGGGGUUCUGAGAGGAAGGUCCCCCACAUUGGAACUGAGACACGGUCCAAACUCCUACGGGAGGCAGCAGUGAGGAAUAUUGGUCAAUGGGCGUUAGCCUGAACCAGCCAAGUAGCGUGAAGGAUGAAGGCUCUAUGGGUCGUAAACUUCUUUUAUAUAAGAAUAAAGUGCAGUAUGUAUACUGUUUUGUAUGUAUUAUAUGAAUAAGGAUCGGCUAACUCCGUGCCAGCAGCCGCGGUAAUACGGAGGAUCCGAGCGUUAUCCGGAUUUAUUGGGUUUAAAGGGAGCGUAGGUGGACUGGUAAGUCAGUUGUGAAAGUUUGCGGCUCAACCGCAAAAUUGCAGUUGAUACUGUCAGUCUUGAGUACAGUAGAGGUGGGCGGAAUUCGUGGUGUAGCGGUGAAAUGCUUAGAUAUCACGAAGAACUCCGAUUGCGAAGGCAGCUCACUGGACUGCAACUGACACUGAUGCUCGAAAGUGUGGGUAUCAAACAGGAUUAGAUACCCUGGUAGUCCACACAGUAAACGAUGAAUACUCGCUGUUUGCGAUAUACAGUAAGCGGCCAAGCGAAAGCAUUAAGUAUUCCACCUGGGGAGUACGCCGGCAACGGUGAAACUCAA